AUGCCUGUAGUUUAGUGGCUCUUCAGAAUCCACUGCAACACCACCCAAUUUCCUGGUGGGAGGGUUUUAAAGAAAUGGUGUAUGAAUAAUCAGCAGAACUGAAUAUACAGUUAUGAAAGCAAGGAAGACAUACCAGCUCUGUUCCUGAGUUUAAUUAUGCAACACAACAUGAUAAUCACUUUCUUCUGCAUAAGCUUUAACAUUAUCCUGGUGUCAGGUUCCACACUCAGUGACCAAGUCCACCAGAAUCCAGCUGAUAUGUAUAAAAAUCCAGAAGAAACAGCUGAGAUCACCUGUUCACACAGUAUAGACACCUAUAAUCAAAUCCUCUGGUACAAGCAAACAAAAACCGGCCAACUGCAGUUCCUGGGAUACAUGUUUGCAACAAGCCCAUCUGUAGAGCCUGGAGUGACUGUGACAAUUGCUGGGAAUGCAAAUAAAGACAAGACCUGCACACUGACAAUUAAAGAUGUCUUCAUGAACAGCAGUGCAGUGUACUUCUGCGCUGCUAGAUACCACAGUGCUACAUGUCACUGAUACUCAAUACAAAAACCUUCCAAUUGCCAGUUUUUAUCUCUUACAGCUCACAGACACUUGCACCUGUAUUCUAACCAACAUAGGUCUUGUGAUUAUAAUCCGGUAGUGGAAUGGGAGGUCCUUAGAGAGAAUUAAAACCUAUAACCUCCACCUACCAUUACAAAUAGCAGCAGGCUUUAAUAUUUACAGUGUCAGCUUCAUCUCAUUGUAGAGCAUCACUAUGAUUGCUCAAGCCCUCAUUGUAUUUUUUGUCUCAUCUCUCUGGCUCCAAGGUCAAUCCCAGGAUGUGUUUCAACAACCUGAAAUCAGAUGGAGUUAUGUUAACAAAGCUGCACACAUGAACUGCAGCCACAACAAAGAUAAGGGCCACAACCAGAUGUACUGGUAUAUUCAAAGACCAGGAGAGACCAUGAGGCUCAUUGUCUACACAGUGUUUGGUGGGAAGCCGGACUAUGGUGGAGCCCCUGAGAAUAAAUAUUCAGCCAGCAAAGAAGCCAUUGAGAACGGGGCUCUAACUGUGAAUCACUUGCAGCAGAAUGACACUGGUGUGUAUUUUUGUGCUGUGAG